UGGGGAAUCUUAGACAAUGGGGGAAACCCCUGAUCUAGCCAUGCCGCGUGAGCGAUGAAGGGCCUUAGGGUUGUAAAGCUCUUUCAGCUGGGAAGAUAAUGACGGUACCAGCAGAAGAAGCCCCGGCUAACUCCGUGCCAGCAGCCGCGGUAAUACGGAGGGGGCUAGCGUUGUUCGGAAUUACUGGGCGUAAAGCGCACGUAGGCGGAUUAGUCAGUCAGAGGUGAAAUCCCAGGGCUCAACCCUGGAACUGCCUUUGAUACUGCUAGUCUUGAGGUCGAGAGAGGUGAGUGGAAUUUCCCGAGUGUAGAGGUGAAACUUCGUAGAUAUUCGGAGGAACACCCAGUGGCGAAGGCGGCUCACUGGCUCGAUACUGACGCUGAGGUGCGAAAGCGU
rnacentral:rRNA from 1 species